UGCCAUUUUUGCCAAAAUUAUUUUCUAAAUUUGGACUGGAAAAAUCACUAUUUUUGAGUGAAAUUCAAAACCCAAACCCAACCCAAAAUUCCAUCUUCUUUUUUCAUCUAUUUCUCUCUCUCGGGUUCUUCAUCCAUUGGGUCCCACAAUCCGGUUCUGAGUCCAGAGAAUAGUAGGUCAGCACUAGUAGUUGUCUGGCUCGUGUUCGGGUGGAGAUGAAAGCGUUUUGGGAGCUACAAAGUGUUCGAGAUCGUUCAAGGAGUUGUUCGUGAUCAAGACUGUUUGGAGAUCCGUUCGUUGGAACCUUGGAGAGACUUGUUUGAGGCAUUAGGGAAUCUACAAAGUGAUGUUGAAAAUGGCUUCUUGGUGAAAGUGACACAUGAAUAUGGGAAUCACGGCUGACUGAUGAAUUAAAAGCAAACGGAGCUCACAAGUAAUUUUGUUUUUCGAACUUCCAAACAUUGUGGUUUAUUCUUCAUGGGAUAGUAAGGUUUAGUUACCAUCACAGUGGUAAAGGUUGUUGUUGUAAAGUUUUUAUCAUACAUAUUUGAAGCAUGAGGAUGGAGAACAUGAAAUGUACUUUGGGAAGUUUAGAUUAGAAGUGAUAGCGUUAUAGAGUUGGAAUUGGGGAUUUUCUCAGUCAACUGUCAAGAAUUUCUCCUCCAUGAUGGGGGAUUCACUAACGCCUCCCUUUUUUUUAAUAGAAUUUGUUUUUGAAUGCAAAUACUCAGCUGUCUUUGACAAAAAAGUAAAAUUCCUUACUGGCCAUGAUUUUUUUUUUUUUUUGGGGUCAUGAAUUUGCUUCUUCUGGGUGCCAUUGAACUUCCCAC